rnacentral:rRNA from 1 species
CAGCCGCGGUAAUACAGAGGGUGCGAGCGUUAAUCGGAAUUACUGGGCGUAAAGCGUGCGUAGACGGUUAUGUAAGUCGGGUGUGAAAGCCCCGGGCUCAACCUGGGAAUUGCAUUCGAGACUGCAUAGCUAGGGUGCGGAAGAGGGAAGCGGAAUUUCCGGUGUAGCGGUGAAAUGCGUAGAUAUCGGAAGGAACACCAGUGGCGAAAGCGGCUUCCUGGUCCAGCACCGACGUUCAGGCACGAAAGCGUGGGGAGCAAACAGGAUUAGAUACCCUGGUAGUCCACGCCAUAAACGAUGAGAACUAGACGUUGAGAGGGUAAGCCUCCCAGUGUCGUAGCUAACGCGCUAA